GAGUGACGUCAGAUGGUAUGGCGACACCGUAGGACCAAAAAGCCAAGCGAAACGAAAUGACACCCAAUGGUGAAAACUAAUGUACCAACACAGUGUCCAAGAUGCAGCACUGACACAAGUCAUGCAGUUCUCAGGCGCUGUACAUCUCUACAAACUGUGGAUGCAGUAGAGAUGUAACUGUCAGGUCAGGAACUCAGAGUGUUGCCACGCCUUGAAAAAAAGCCCUUCAACAAAAGGCCUUUGUCUGUGUCUGUCCAAGUCAGGCUACACGAAGUCAAAAUCUCCAAAAACCGUGGAAAGUUUUGCUGUAAUUAUAUCAUGUGCACAUUGCUUCAUGUUAAAAUAUCCAAGGCUGAGUUGGUCUGUUGUGCCUAGUAGCUGUUGCUAGGCUAUGGCU